GUGGCCCUACGGGGCGCAGCAGUGGGGAAUAUUGGGCAAUGGGCGCAAGCCUGACCCAGCAACGCCGCGUGAAGGAAGAAGGCUUUCGGGUUGUAAACUUCUUUUCUCAGGGACGAAGCAAGUGGCGGUACCUGAGGAAUAAGCCACGGCUAACUACGUGCCAGCAGCCGCGGUAAUACGUAGGUGGCAAGCGUUAUCCGGAUUUACUGGGGGUAAAGGGCGGGUAGGCGGGG
rnacentral:rRNA from 1 species